rnacentral:rRNA from 1 species
UUGAACGCACCUUGCGCUCCUUGGUAUUCCGAGGAGCAUGCCUGUUUGAGUGUCAUGG